CAACAAAUAAGUUCGUAUCAUCGUCAUUUUAAAGAAGAAUUAAUAAUCACGAGAUAGAUCAGUGGAGAGGAAGCUAGUUAAAAUCCAGCUUUAUGAAUAUAUAAAAGUAUGAAGUGGAUAUUGUGUCUAGGUAUCGCUGUCGUCUUCUCUGUAGCUUUUGCUGAGGUCGGGGUAACAAUAAAAGACCAUUCGUGCAAAGAGGACUGGUGGGGCGACAAGGAUUACUUCUAUCUGAACUGCUCAGAGGGUGAAACGAUAGUAGUGAAGGAUGCCGUAUUGUAUCCAUUUGAGCAAAAUCUCACAUGUGUUAUGAAUAAUUCUAAAAAUGAAUGUCGUCACAACUUUACCCAGAAGGCUUUAGACUAUUGCAGCAACAUGGAGACCUGUCGUCUGCGUUUGGACAACUACGCUAUAUCUAUUAAGAAGUCCUGCUGCAAGAACUUGCACUGUCACGACCUUGAGUAUGAAUGCGUUCCAGCAUCAUGUAAAACGCCUCAAGCACCCGCUAAUGGUCAGGUUUAUGUCCCCAAAGCAGAUGACUGGAACAUCACUAUAUCUUAUUCAUGCAACAGUGACUUUUCAUUAGCGGGAGAACAAAAGAGGAGUUGUAUAAAAAAAGAGACCACAUACUAUUACCGUCAAUCGGAAUGGGAAUAUACAUGGACGGGAAAUCAACCAGUGUGUAAUAUUGACACUUCGUUUUGCCGUUCGACAACAAACAGACAGGAAGUAUAUAGACAUAUAUGCUAUGAAUUUAUUGAGGACCAGGCUUAUAGUUAUGACGCUGCAAAGAAAAAAUGCAAAGACCAACAGUCUACAAUGGCGGUGAUUUCCAGCAUCGAGAUUCUAAAACUAGUGCAGAGACACUUAGAUGUGACACAACGAGAACGAAAUAAAUAUUGGGUAAUAGCGGACCGAACAUAUCUACCGAAGUUCAACGAAAGUUGGUGUGUCAAGGCUGAAUUAAAAAAAGGAUGGUGGAGUACACGUGUAGAGCUUAAAUACUUUAGACCAUUGCUUGGUGAAACUGGAUGUGAGAGGCAAAGAUAUGGUGUUGUGUGCCAGUACGAACCACUAAACGCAACUAGUUGUCGCAAACUGGAGGCUCCAAGAUUUGGUUACAUUUCGGGACAAAGCAGAACGGUGGGCAGUCGUGUUGUUCUUGGAUGUAUUCCGGGCUACGUACCUACACAGGCUAUUGGAGGUUCCUACCAAACUGCUUUCGUUAGACAAUGUCUACCGAGUGGUGCUUGGAGUGGUGACUCACCUCAAUGUAAACUUGCGCCAGAGACUACCCCAGGAUCAACGAUGGUUACCGCAGCAACAACACCACAAAGUGGAACCAUUCGUAUACAUUCUACAGCCGCUCCAACACCAGGGAUACCCACUACUCCGCCGGUACUUCGCAAUACUUCAAGUUGUGAGUUGUCUAGAAGAAAUGCCCCAGCCGCAAUCUAUAUGCAGUGCCGCCCGCACAUGAUGGUUCAGGUGGAUUCUGCAUUCAUUUAUGCAAAUGACACUGUUCCCUGUGUGACGAGAAACAAACAUUGUACAUUCGAUAUCCUAAGUAUUGCAAACACGACAUGCGCUUCAAAAAAGGUCUGUAGGGUGGAAACUGGUCCCAUUUCCAAGAAGAACAAGGGGUUGUGUUGUCGUGAUUUAACCUGUCAUAGCGUGACAUAUCAUUGUGUUCCAGCGAGAUGUCCAGAACCAUCUAAACCUAAUAAUGGUACAGUGGUCACGUCUCCACUGUCCAAAUCAUUCGUACGUUCCUGGGAAGAGCAAGCCGAAUAUACGUGUGAUAAGGACUUCACCCUCACAGGACCAAUGACCCGAAAGUGUUCGCGAUACAGAAAAUAUGUGUACUUUGAUAGUGAUGAAUAUUAUUAUAACUGGAACGGCAAUAUUCCCGUUUGCACUAUUGAUUCCUCGAUGUGUAAGGCCACAACAAAUAAAUUGGAGGUGUAUGGAAAUAUGUGUUACCAGUUUUUCGAAGCCCAGACCCAUAGUUACACUCAGGCAGAAUCAGCGUGCAAGGCUUUGGAUGGCUGGGAGUUUGCUGUCAUUUCAAAUGAAGCGAUAUUGGAUAUAAUUAACAGUCAUAUGAAUGCUCGGUAUCGUAGCUCUCAGCGAUAUUGGUUAAAAGUUGAUAAAAAUUAUAAAAAGGGUGUUAACGAUUCAUUAUGUGCCUACGCCCAUGUUUACGUCCCCACUUACAGCAGUCCAUACACUCGAAUUCGAUACUUCAGUUCAGAAAAAGGCAACGACUGUAACAACAAAUAUGGACACAUCUGCCAGUAUAGACCGACAACCCGGAAUACAUGUCCAGACAUUAAAGUUCCAAAUGGCUUUGCGCAUAUGAAGAGUAGAGCCGUAGACAGUGUCGCUACAUUGGGUUGUAAUCCAGGUUGGAUUGCAACACCACGGCGAGAUGACUACACCCGAGUAUGCAUGAAGAAUGGUAUGUGGAGUGGCAUUACACCCUACUGUGAAGCAAACCUCACAGAUACAUCGUGCAGCAGAACCGACUACGGUGACAUGAAUGUGUUUAGUCUCGAGUGCGACUUUAAGUCCAUGGUGAAGAUAGAUCGAGCUACUUUGUAUCCAAACUCAACGGACGCGUGUACUAGAACAAACCAAGACUGUACACUUAACAUCACUGAACUUGCUAUUAGAAAUUGCAAACACCAGCAGAAAUGCCAACUUUCGUUGAAUAGCUAUGCAAAACAGAAUAAGAAAACAUGUUGUGCCCCUCUGGUUUGUCACAACAUAGCGUACCAAUGCGUACCAGGAAAAUGUGAUGUUCCACAGCCACCAACUAACGGAAAAGUUACGACGGAAUUUAAUGCUGAUCCACUAUCUGACCUAUCAGAUAGUUGGAAGGCAGCAGCAACAUAUACAUGUGACAUAAACUUUAGUUUGUAUGGCGAUUCUGUCAGAAAGUGUGAACAGAGACAAAAAAGACAAAUGUCAAGUCUCUUCGUAGACGGUGGCUUUGAGUACACAUGGGAAAGACGGACCCCUGCUUGUAACGUUGACGAAACAUUGUGUCCAGCGACUGCAUUUAAAAAGGAGACACUCGGUCGUAUGUGCUAUGAAUUUCACGACGAUCAGCAGACAACGUUCCAAAAUGCUAAAGAGGCUUGUGAGAGUAGGAGAUGGAAACUUGCAACGGUAAUUAAUGCAGACACUCUUCGUCUCAUACGGCAUCACAUGGAUUAUGAGUAUAGAUCAAAUUACAAGUACUGGGUAAACGUUGAUCCGAAGUUUUCUGAUUCAUUUGACACAGCUUGGUGUACGUAUGCGUAUUUCGCUCCACCACGUGGAGCCAUUGGAUAUUAUGACCCAAAGAAAAACGAUGGUCGAUGUUCAAAUAAAUACGGAUAUAUUUGUGAAUACGAAGCACUGAAAGCGACAUCUUGUGAUGCUCUCGUCACACCAAGAAACGCUUAUAGAACAGGUACAAGUCGAGCAGUUGGGAGCACCGUAACGUUCAGGUGCUUCCCCGGAUAUACUCCCUUCCCAUUCAGAUCAUCAAGGACUUACACAAGACAGUGUCUCGACAAUGGAGAAUGGGAUGGUGUCACCCCCUUUUGUCGAAUUAUCCCCAUACUACCAACAACACCAUCCAGGCCUGCCGAAACCACUACUACACCAGUUCCUACUACUACAAUGCCAAUGUUUGAAACACGCAAAGGGGCAAACGAGAGUUCCUGUGCUAAGGACUAUUGGGGAGACAAGCCGACAUUCUAUUUGAGAUGUCCAGAAGGGUUUAUGAUUAUAGUCACAAACGCGAUUUUACAUCCCGAGAGGACUAGUAAAUCAUGUGACGUUCAAAACACUCCAGAUUGUACACACAAUUUUACUGAGAGGGCUGCUGCAAACUGUGAGUAUACAGAAGUUUGCCGGAUGCCAUUGCAUAGCUACAUUGGCGAGAAUAAAGGAAGUUGCUGUGAAGAAAUCUGGUGUCAUGAAGUUGAUUAUUAUUGCGUUGAAGCAAAAUGCAGAGACCCACCAGCUCCCCUGAAUGGCACCGUUGUGACAAGAACACCUCCCAAAAUUGAAGGCGAGCCUCUUAACUCAUGGGAUCAGAAUGGUCUAGCUAUGUACACAUGUGACAAAAAAUUUGAGUUAGUUGGCCAAGACACCAGAACCUGCGACCGUAGCCCAACGUGGCAUUUGUUUGGCGAACCCGAUGUUGAGUAUAAAUGGAAUGGAGUGGCUCCAAUGUGUAACAUUAAGAGAAGCCUGUGUCCGUCAACGAGUAACAAGAUGGAGGUACAUGGUCAUAUGUGUUAUGAGUUUUUCGAGCAACAGAGUACAACCCACGAUCAAGCCCAGACUGCAUGUGAAGUCAAAAAAGGAUGGAGUAUUGCCGUUGUCGCGAAUAGCCAAGUGUUGAAUAUCAUCCGAAAUCAUUUGAAUCUCCAGAUAAGAUCAAAACAAAAUUAUUGGGUAAAAGUUCACCAAGACUUUGCAGAGGAACUGGAUGCUACUUGGUGUACUUACGCAUUCCUUCGUUAUACCUCUUAUGGUGUCCCUGUCGCAAAGCUUGGGUACUAUGAGCCAUUGAAAGGGGAGGAUGAUAAAUGCAACCUGACAUACGGCUAUAUAUGUCAAUAUGAACCCGUACCCGUCACUGAGUGUGCUUUACUAGAAGUUCCAGACAAUGGUUAUCUUAAAAAUGACACUCGACAAGUCGGAAGUGUCGUGAUAUUAGGAUGCAAAUCAGGGUACAUCGACAAGAAUGGACGCGAGACUAUAUCUAGAACAUGUCUGGAAACUGGUUUCUGGAGUGGAAGGUCCCCAACUUGCAUAGAUUUACAGACUCUACAGAAUUCUACAAAUUCUACGAAUUCUACAAAUUCUACGAAUUCUACAACGCCGUAUAGCUCACCUGGACCAUUUCCAAAUAUUGCAGCGAAUAAACAGUCACAACGCGACAGCCACUCUCCCGAGUCGCUCGGUGUAGGUGUGGGUAUAGGGCUUGGCAUAGCAGCUGUUCUUGUUGCGGGGUUUAUUGUUUUUCUGAUGUACAGACGUUAUUCAAAAGCAAAGGAAUUCGACGGUGACCAAAUGAACGCUGAACCAACGUCAUUUGAAAAUAGAGUAAUCCAAAAAGACCAUGCUAUAGAACCACCUUUUCCGUUGGAGGCGAUGGUUGGCACGGGGGAUAUCAUCGGAGUCUCUGAAAAGGACAAGGAAGCAAAGUUCCCCGAAAAGGACUCAAAGAACCCAUUCAGCAAUGGAGUCAUGUGAUAAAAUCUACGGUGAUCUAAAUUUAGUUAUAUGUACAAAAUAAUAUGGAGAUGCAUGACGAUGCGACGAGUACACUUAUUGACUUGAGCCAGUUUUGUGAAUUCACGUUAUUACAUUACUACAGAACAGGGGAGUUAUUCACCAAACUAAGCACGAGUAGAGAGCUGUGUACAUUAUAAAGAACAGCACAGCAGAUUUUAUGACCAUGUGCUUUUAAAUAGUCAUCGAUGUAUAACGUGAAUCUUUGUGUGAAAUAUGCGCAACAUAUGUGCAAUAAAUAUUUGGACAUCAUGUUAUGCCUUGGUCACAUUCGUCCGAGUCAUAGGCCGGCGCCCGGCCGAUCGAGUAUCCUGUUCAUUCAUAAUUGUAUUCACUUUUGAACAGAAUACUCAAUCGGCUGCGCGCCGGCCGACGAAUCGGAACAAAUGUGACCCAGGCGUUAGGGAUAAAGUACGAGUAUUGGGUCUAAGGAGGAAUAAUAAUAUUAAUUCUCCUAAGACCCAAUACGAUUCGUUCAUCUUAUUUUAACCCCCCAGAAACUUUUAUGAAAGCUAAGUGGCCCAUGAUCCAUUUUUGGAAAGCUUUUCUUUUGUAUUGACUAUGAGGUAAGAGUGUUGAGAAGUCGGUGUAAUUAGUUCAGCUUCAGUACACUGCAUGUAACAGUUUACACUUUGAUUUAUUUUGUGUUUACUAUUUCAAUUAUUGAAUGAGUGAAUAGGGUAUAAUUGGUCCAGCUUUAGUGCACUGCAUGUGACAGUCAAUCAUCUUUGUGCCACAUUGGUUUUAGAUAGCUUGCCAAGUGUACAUUCU
rnacentral:misc_RNA from 1 species